GAUGGAUCACUUCAACUAAAUAAGUUAAAAUACAGGUAUAAAACUUCCACAAAGGCAGUAUAUCAAUGUUGUAUUAGACACAUUAUUUAAGUAACUGAAAUAAAAUGAAGGAAAAUGGAAGUUGAAAUAUUAUUGAGAUAAAAGUAGAACCUCUGCCAAACCAAUGGCCAUUCCCCUGGCAAAGAUUCAAUGAGUUGACUGUCAAUCCAAUUUUAUUAUUGUAGGAACAAUGGACUAUUUGAGAACUGUAUUCUAUUAAAUAACUUUGCUUUGUUAAAAUCCAAAGGCUUUUAAUUGGGCUGAUGUUAGUCAGACCCAGCAUCUUUCUAUCCAUCCUUCCAUCUGUCUAUCUUUUCAUCCUUUCAUCUCAGCAAUGGCAGACACUUCUAUUCUUCUAUUCACCCAUCAACCCAUCCAUUCUUUCAUUCAUCCACUUUAACACCCAACCACCUUCAAUUCAUCAUCCUCCUGUCCAUCCGGUCACCCAGCCAUUCAUCCUUCCUGCCCUUCUUCCAUCCAUUCACCCAAUAAUUCCUUUGUUCUUUCUCCCCAGCAAAAGUUAAUUGCCUGUUGAUAAUUAAAAGAUGUGAAUAAAUAACACUGGAAAUCAAGCAUGCACGUAAUUAUGUAAUUUCAGGCAAGUUAGAGAAUGUUCAACUACAUCAUUUACUAUGGUCCCGGUACUCAUCUAGUUUAUCAUGUUGUAGUUCCUAUCUAAAGAUAAUCAGCUAUAAUUACCAAGACUAAUUCAAUAAUAUUGCAUCUACCCAUUGCAUUACUUAUAUACAUUAUAGAAACUGCCAUUUUAGUUUCUGACAGUACAUUAAAUCCACCCCAUCUGUCCUGAUGAAAGUGUUUUAUUAUUAAUCUUAGAGAAGUUCUUCCCACUGCUGCAACAUUUAAGAAACACGUUUGUUUUCAUUAUUCAGUUUUGCGGACAGAAAUAAUUUUUCCCUUUUCUAUAGUGCUUUACAGUUUACAACUCUCUUUUUAUAGAUCCAUCAUCCUUGAUUCUCAAUUAAAAGCCAAAUUCAAUGUUUUGCAUAUGUUUUGCUGCAGUUCUCAUUUCAUCUCAGAUGAUGAUGAAGUGGAUGUUGUUCUCAUUAUUCCUGCCUCAGGAUGUGGUGGACCACCAUCUGCAGCUGCCGUAUAGACGGCAGACUGAUCGAAUGGAUGGAAUGCCUAGCAGAAAUUGAGUAUGAAAUAGGUGCACCAAAAAGAGUCUACAUGGAAAAAAAAAAUGUUCCUCUGCUUGGAAUCACUCUCAGUACUGUGCAGUGGACAAGGUCAAUAGCAAUCUUGUAAAGAGCUAAACUUUUCCUGAGAAAUAAUAACUGCUCCCACCUAUUGAGUUAUAUUGUAGACACCAUUUUCUCAAGUCAAUUUAUUUAAUCCUAACAACUUUAUAAGGUAAAUAUUGUUCUUAAACUCCAUUUUACAAAUGAAAAAACUGAACUUAAAUCCUGCUAAAACCUAAUAGCUAGUAGGUGAUGAUAACACAAUUUGAACUCAGGCAGACUGACUCCAGAGCCCUUCCUUCCUCUCGGGAGCUGAUACCAGAGUCAAAAAGAGGAAUAAGAGGAAACAAACUUCCUGCAAUUGCUGUGCUUUCCAGACACAAUAUGUGGCCAUCUUAUCCACUAUUCAGACAUGAGGCACUCUUAAACUAAGAUGCAGAUCUGAUUGCAACACCAAUAAAAUUUCAAGAGUAGCCAACGACAUAAAGAUUAAUGGUAUUUACUGACUAGAAGAAAGGGAAUUUUUCACGGGUUGACAAAACCAUUCAGAGCAAAACUGUGCCAUUCCAACAAAGAAAAGGAUAGGAGAAAAUGAAGCCAAAGAAAAGAGUGAGUGAGAACGAAAAAAAGCAAGAAAUUAAAAGGCAGAAAAGUGGAAUUAGGAGAAAAUAUGAUGAAGAGUAAAGGCAGUGACCAAAAACAAUGACAGUGAGGAAUUGAGAUGACCAUGAUAAAGAGAAAGGGAACAAAACACAGGGUAAAAUAGCAUAGCUCCUGGGGACUCUGGUUGUGUCAAGCUCUCUUGAAGAUAUAACAGGUAAAAAUGGGACAAGUUCAUUUCAACAGGAAAGCCGCAAUAGUCCAGCAGCACUGUCUAAUAGAAUUUUGUGAUAAUAAAAAUAUUCGAUAUUGGCACUUCCCAGUAUGGUGGCCACUAGCUACAUCUGGCUACUGAACCCUCAAAAUGUUACUAGUGCAAAUGAGGAAUUAAGUUUUUAAUGUUUUAAAGUUUAGUUAAUUUGAAUGUAAAUAGCCACAUGUGGCUAGUGACUCCAGUAAUGAACAGCAAAGGUCUAUGGCUUCCAGGCGGCAAAGUGAUUCUAGGGACUUCUCUAAAAAAGUACGAUCCAUAACCCCCUCACUCUCUAUAUGCUGACCACAUGGAAAAACAUAUGAAUGGCUAACACUGAGAUUCUGAGUGAUCAUGAAAAGGCUGUAUCAUAUUCUGUGUACUAAAUAUGAUGGGCUUAAAUUGUGUCCUUCUGUACAAUUCCUUUGUUGAAGCCCUAACCCCCAGUAUCUCAGAAUGGGACUGUAUUUAGAUAUGGGGCUUUUAAAGAGGUGAUUCAAUUAAAAUAAGGCCAUUAGGGUGGUCCCAAAUCUCAUCUGGCUGGUGUCCUCAUAAAAAGAAGAUAUUCAGCCACCCAAAUUGACAGCAGAAAUGUGCAUAUGCAAAGGAAAAACCAUGUGAAGACCCAGCAAGAGAGUGGCCAUCUGCAAACCAAGAAGACAGGUCUCAGAAGAAACCAAACCUACUGGCAUCUUGGCUUGGACUUCCAGUCUCCAAAACUGAAAGAAAACAAAUUUCUGUUGCUUAAGCCACCCCAGUCUGUAGUUUUUUGUUAUGGCAGCCAUAGCAAAUUAUUACACUAAAGCAGUUAAAAACAAGUGCAAUACAGUUCUAAAACUUCAAUGUAAUUUAAGUCAAAGGUUUUAGGCUUAGCCUUGGUUUAUUUAUCAAACCAUAUUUCUUGACCCACUCUUCAAAACUGAGAAUGCACAGAAUCUUGCAGUAGAACAUUCAAAGGAGGAAACAAAUUAUAAACUACAAUUACCUGCAGCUAAGGAGUAUUUUAUAUGCUACUCAAUUUAAAUUCUAAAAGCUGUAUUGAUGACAGUUAAAUGGUAGCUGCCUAUGCAGGAUGACAGGCUUUAAAAUGUUAACUCCUCCAUGCAAGAUUGAAGGGAAAUUUCUGGUUGCUAGGCCCUGAUUUGGUGCAGUGAAGGUCAGCAUUAUUAAGCAGGGAAUUUGCAUUAGUGUCUGGGUGUUACAAGAGCUGCAUAAAUUACCUAUGCAAUGGUCAGGUCUUUCAAAGAUCCAUGCUGGCAGAGAUGCUGAGUGUGGGGAAGAGAGGCGAAGGCUCUCUCUCUUUUGCUUGUCAACAAAAUAUGUCGUCAUGUUUUAUCUCAUAUUUUUUCUUAAAAUGAAUGUUGUUUUCAUACAUAUUUUGUUUUCUGUGAUAUGCUCUCAUUCAUCACAUGAUUGCUAGGCAUGACCAGACCUGUAAUAGUACUUAGCAUCUUGCAGAUAUCAGUGCAUUAUGACAAGACUCACUGUUUUGCUGAAAUGUGAGGAGCUUCAUAGGCUUGCCUAUAGCUACACAUUUCAAUAGAAGUUUUCUAUAAAUUAGAACAAUUGCUACAUAUUUGGCAGCAGCUGAUAAAUAGGCAAAUCUUACCUAGUAGACUAAAAAUGUAUAAAUGUAUUUACGGAGACUCAGGGUUCUUAACAGAAAUUUGUUUUCCCCUUAUAUCAUGUUACUGAUAUACAUCUCUAAUUAUGGGGAUUUUUCUCAAGAAAAACCUCAUUUGGAAUCAGAAAGGAAUGAUAGAAACUCUUGUAUUUUCCUGGUAACCUUGACAGACAUAGGGCAAGGGCAAGAAGAGGUAUAAGGUCUCUUCAGAACAAAGGAUAGCCUAGUUUUCCAUGCUCAAGCUCACACAGUCUUCCUGUUGACUCCUCUUUUGGAAUCACUGUUAAAAUGGUCUCUUCUCCAGGGUGAAAUCCUAAGUCGGCAAAAUCAGUUUUUCAUGCUCCCCACCACUCUUUUGUGUUACUGUUCAUAGUGUGAAGUCAGUUCGUUUGGUCAGUCCCCAGUGUCUGCCUAGGCCUUUAGUGUCUCUUUCUUGAGUUCCAAUUUGACAAUCAGGUAUUCUAUUGCCUCUAUGAUCACAAAAUUCUAGCCAAUAAAUAACUCUUGCUAAUAUAUUAAAGGAUUAUAGUGGAUUUUUUAACAUUUCUAGGCAUCAUCUUUGUCAUUAGACUCUUCUGGUGACAGUGUUGCAGCUUAAAUGAGUAAUUUUAAUGAAUGUAAGUAAUUUGACUGCAUGGUAAAUUAUGUGUGUGUGUGUGUGUAUGUGUAUGUGUGUGUGUGUGUGUGAGAGAGAGAGAGACAGAGAGAGACAGAGAGAAAGAGAGAGGAAUUCUCUUUCAGAUAGAGCUUUUGUUUCCUGUGAAAUCCUACUUCCUAUGAAGCUGUCUGAAGUCUCCCUACCUUUGUGAAGGCUUUGUUUCAAUCAGGGGAUAGUUCAUUUGGGGGACUGAUCACGGGACAUGAAGGGUCCUAUUUGUGAGUAAAAAAGGUAGCUUACACCCACAGAGGAAAAUGCCCUUUUCAGGCACCAUUUUGUAGGUCAGGUACAUAGUCUGUUUAUCAGAACUAAUACAAAUACUCGAACCAAAUAGACCCAACUUUUAUUUUUAGAAUGGGGAUUUAAAAUGUAGUUGAGCUAUUCAAGACACCUACAUCAGUCAAGAUGGGCUAGGGAAUGCUUCUGUAAUAAGCAACCCUAAAUUCUUAGUGGCUUGUUGUAAUAAAGUUUAUUUCUCUCUUGUGCUAUAUAUCCAUCACGAUGGGCUAGGAGCUCUGCUCCAAAUCUUCUCUCCUCCCAGGAUCUAGACUGAGAAAGCAGCCAUUGUAUCAAUUGCCAACUGUCAUGCCACAGGAAAAAGAGAGCUCUAGAAGGUCUCACAUCAGCAAUUCAAUGCUUAGCCCAGAAAUGACAUAUGUUAGCUCUGCUCAUAAUUCAUUGUCUGGAGCUAGUCACAGGCCUCACCCAGCCACAGGGGUCUCAGAAAUGCCACUUCCAUUUUCUUGUGUCUGAAAGAGAGAAAAGCUGGACAGAUUUGGUCAACAGUAUCAAUGACAACCACAGUACUCAAGUGACUCUUUUACUUUGGAAUUUUAUAAGAGCAAGCAUUAGCUGAAAUUAACUAGAUAUGCACAAUGAAAGAACUGUAUUCAUAUUACUAAACAGCUAAACAAAUGCAUAGUAAAUUAUAAAUAAAUCCAACAAGAGUGGCCAGAGAAGUAUCUUUCUCCUACACUACAUUUAGAUUAUCUUAUUUUGUUGUUCUGUCAUACAAUGUCUGCUUUGGUAUUCUGGGCUACUCUAUGUCAAACUGUCAGCUUUUAUCAGAGCUGAUGUAUUACUUACAAAGAAUUCCCAGUUUUUUAUCUCCCAAUGGUAAAACUUUAAUUUUUAAUGCAUAGAAACUUUCUUUCUUAAUUAUAUACACUUUAAGUGAAUAUAUAUUGCUCUGGUGAUUUUUCUUGUUAUGUUACACAAUAAAAACAUGUGAUUAUGGGAAGCCGUGCAAUGUGUUCCCCCCAUCUGUGAAUGUCUUCCACAGAAGGAGUUAUAAAUAUAUAUGAUUAAAUCAUAUGAACUUGCCAUUUUUGCAGGUCAAACAGUUGAAUAUUUCAAUUUCAUGUUUCAAUCUAAUAAAUACCUCCAUGGCUUUAGAUUUUAAUAAACAUC
rnacentral:lncRNA from 10 species